UGAUUGUUUCACUGCCAAGUUUGUUGAAUUUCAGAUUAGAUUGUGGAUCACCUGAGAUGGAAAUCCAGUUAGGGUUUUUGACCCACAAAAAAAUAAAAGAAAAUCUUGUAGGCUCCGAUGGGGCGGGUGGGGGGAUGCGGUGUAUCCAGGAAAAGGGGGUUGUGUGGGUAGGGAGAAGUGAACGCGGAAGGCAAUAGAAAGAGGAAGAGACUAUAUCCUCUUGCAAAUUCUUACAAAAUACAGGGUGUGUUUGGCAGGUAGAAA
rnacentral:lncRNA from 1 species